AAUCCAUGGUGUGGGCAUUUCUGGUUCAACGUUUUAAAGCAUUCUCAAGCUUCCUAUAAACUUUCUGCUUCCAUUUGUUUGAACGUUGCAAUCUCCCUCCUUAGUUG
rfam:Gossypium raimondii chromosome 10, whole genome shotgun sequence.